CAGUCGAACGAUGAACCACUUCGGUGGGGAUUAGUGGCGAACGGGUGAGUAACACGUGGGCAAUCUGCCCUUCACUCUGGGACAAGCCCUGGAAACGGGGUCUAAUACCGGAUAAUACUUCUGCUCUCCUGAGCAGAGGUUGAAAGCUCCGGCGGUGAAGGAUGAGCCCGCGGCCUAUCAGCUUGUUGGUGAGGUAAUGGCUCACCAAGGCGACGACGGGUAGCCGGCCUGAGAGGGCGACCGGCCACACUGGGACUGAGACACGGCCCAGACUCCUACGGGAGGCAGCAGUGGGGAAUAUUGCACAAUGGGCGAAAGCCUGAUGCAGCGACGCCGCGUGAGGGAUGACGGCCUUCGGGUUGUAAACCUCUUUCAGCAGGGAAGAAGCGAAAGUGACGGUACCUGCAGAAGAAGCGCCGGCUAACUACGUGCCAGCAGCCGCGGUAAUACGUAGGGCGCAAGCGUUGUCCGGAAUUAUUGGGCGUAAAGAGCUCGUAGGCGGCUUGUCACGUCGGGUGUGAAAGCCCGGGGCUUAACCCCGGGUCUGCAUUCGAUACGGGCUAGCUAGAGUGUGGUAGGGGAGAUCGGAAUUCCUGGUGUAGCGGUGAAAUGCGCAGAUAUCAGGAGGAACACCGGUGGCGAAGGCGGAUCUCUGGGCCAUUACUGACGCUGAGGAGCGAAAGCGUGGGGAGCGAACAGGAUUAGAUACCCUGGUAGUCCACGCCGUAAACGGUGGGCACUAGGUGUUGGCGACAUUCCACGUCGUCGGUGCCGCA
rnacentral:rRNA from 1 species